AUUCAUAAACUUUUGUUUUGUUUGUUGUUAAUUUACAAACUCUUAAAAAGUUAUCUAAAAAAAAAGAUAUCCCCUACCAAACUAGAUUUUUAUUCAUUAAAUCUUUACCUUCUUCACACAAACCCUGCAUUCUUUUCUUUCUCCUCAUUUGCUCUGCUUCUCCUCCAACAUCUUCAUUUCAUGAUCUCCCCUUUUUCUUCUUUGCUCAGUCAAUCGUCAUCACUUCACCGCAAGUUGCUCUCUUUUUUUUCUUUGACGCUGAGAUUCCCGUUUUUCUCUUUUUCACAUUACAAUUGGAUGAGUGUAGUAAACCUCUUCCCCAAUCUUUAUGUGUUCAUCAAAGCCCGAGGAAAAAGAAGACUUUUAAAGCCUCCCCAAAAAAUAUCAUUCGCAGAGGCUAUUAAUGAAGCCCAAAUGGGCUUAGCCGAGGAAGGAAAAGAGAAAAAGAAAUGCAGAGGAAAAAUGGAUAGGUUGAG
rnacentral:lncRNA from 1 species